AGCGUUCUCUGUGCCUUUCUUCUGUGUUUUUCAGCUCCUGCCUCAUGAAAGGAAAAUUGGGAAAUCAAGAUAAGGAGACUAUCCUGUCUCCACCCCCACUCUCAAAUGCUCACCUGAGGGAGAGACACAGAAUAGCCAUACUUGUCUUUGAGAUGCAAAAGAAGCUACCAGGACUCUAACUUCAAGGAGAGCCCAAGAACUGGGGCAGAAAAAUGCCAAAUGUUUAACAGGUAAUUCACGAACUAUGUCAAUGAACUGAAGAAUUACUGCAGAAUCCAGUCAUCCAGAAAGUUCACAUUAGAAGAAUCAGCAUUAGAAAUGCUGUAGAAUAUAUAAAUAUGUGAAAGUAGAGCCUACCAAAAAAAAAUAUUUAUCAUCAAUAACUUAUGUGAUUCUUCUAUUAACUGUUCAGUGGAUUUUCACUUCUCAAGUCUUAGUCAAUGUGAAUUAUAUACAUUUCAAGCUCUGUGAUGCUUUAUCUGGUUAGCUUUGUCUUUAAACACUAAGCAGCUGGUUUUGAGAGCUGAAUUUUUUAACACUCAACAUCCAAACUGAAGAGGCAACUGCUGUUUGCUAUGCAUGGGGUAUCUAUAUUCAAUGAUAAAUCUGGGUUUAAACUUUAAUGUGACACUUCAUAAAUAAAUAGGGAAAACUGCAUAAUUAUCCCAAA